UCCGUCGGGUACGGCUACGCACCGUCGCCUUGACCGGUCCUGGAGCCGCGGAAGCAGGUGAGGUCGGUGUGUCUUGCGCGUGUUUUUACCGCGAGCGGCGGCGCGGGAGGGCGGCCAAGGGGCGGCGAGGAGGGGCUGGUGGCGGCAGAAGCGGAGAGGUCUCUGUGCGGGUGAAGGCGGGAGUCUUGGGUGCAGCGUGGGGAAGAGGUGAGGAGCGGCGGCGCCAGCGGCGGGGCGAGUGGCGUCGCCUGUGCCUCCCCGCCUUCGUGCUCGACGACGCCCGCCACGUCCUCUGCCCCGCGCCGAGCCCCCGGUCGGGGCUGGUCGCGCGCCGGUAGCUCCUACGGUAGCACAGGCACCUCCUCGAGCCGCGGCCCCUCCCCCGUGGCGACCUGGAGCGACGCGAGCUGCCGUGGACCUCCGACACGAUGUGCAGACGCAGCCUGCACGAAUACGAGAAGCUCCGCCGGCUCUCUGAGGGAGAGGACGUCCAUCCCGUUUAUAUGGUCUUUAAACUCACGUUCCCAGCCAGCCUACCACCUUAACACGCCUUACAGCACGCAACCUCGUAGCUCUUGAACGACCUCCUCGUUCUCCCACGUUGUGACUACCAGAGACGUUUUAAACUACAAGACAGAUUCUCGUUGUAUAAAGAAGUCAAGCUCCUCCAACGACAUCUCUUAUAGUUCUAAUCACUCGUCGAUGUUCGUGACUAUCGAGGACGAUAUGAAGGAGCCAGAAAAAACUCAGAAGUCUAUAACGUCAAGGAAUUUUGAAAGGCUCGAGUUCAAGGAUAGUCGCCGGGCCUUUCUGCUAGCGGACCUCCUGAUAUGAUAGAAAGAAUGGAACUGGCACUGUACGAGGACCCCGCAAGUCAACCGCCACCACCACAAAAAUAAAAGUGUUCUCGGGUCGGAGAUAAUACUUCCAAAAGAUUAAAGGUACCCACACAACAUAUUAUUUACUACCAAUAUCUACCCGAAUGGACGUAUGUAAUCCAUACACUUUAGACUAAUGACAGGUCAAGAUGAAUAUCGUUAGUGGAAGACGAAGGCACACAGUUCUUUUUAGAAAAACAAGUAGUCCAAAGAUUCAAUUAACUGAACUACUGAAAAAUAAGACACGUAACCGUACACAAAAACAAACUCAAGACGAUAUACAUGCCGCAAAAGUGCAAGCUGUGUUCAUGUUAUCGUCUACGUACACGAAAGUAGCUUAGAUGGUCGAGAUAGACCUUUUCCUUUGUUCACCUCGUACGUCGGGUCAACUCUGUGUAGCCUAGCAUACUCUAAACAUGGACUUUUAUAGUAUACGUUUCGUUAAGGCAAAAACAAAGAUCAUAAUAGUAACAACUUCACAUAUAUACCUAACGGAUCGGGAAAGGUAGUCAAGCCUGAAAACCAACGCAACCGAUCACGUACUUCGAACUGUUAGUAUAGACGUAAGAAAAGUUACACGGAUAUAGUGAGUCAUGGUGACCGCUAUACACUAACAAGUACGGAUAAUGACAUUAGAAUCGGAUUGUUUAAAUGAUUAGACGUG
rnacentral:rRNA from 1 species